AAUCGAUAAUGGCAAACUCGUCGAAAGGCGGGGACGCAAAGCUUCUGGUCUAAGGGUGUCACACCUAUGACAGCAGGGUCGCCGAA
rnacentral:ncRNA from 1 species